AUUUCAGAUGUUUCUAAGGUGUGUCUUCAAUGUUUAUUUUCAAAAUUGUUUGAAAAUAAACAUUGAAGCCACACCUUACAAACGUCUGAAAUCUG